GGGGGGGGGGGGCUUAGACUUCCCUGACAGUCUUUUCAAUGAAAUGUGUGGAGGGAAGUUGGAAGUGCCAGUGGUGAGCACUGUGUAAGAAUUUAAUGUUUAAUGCAUUUAACAUAUGAACAACUAGGAGACAAGAAAUGGUCCCUGGACAUGUGAAAAACAGUACUAGGCAAUGAACAUCUCCAAUAUACAAUAGCAUUGAAAAUACAGUGCCAUUUGAUGAAGUCUUGUAAAAUGGAACACCAGUGUACAAGGUUAACUUCCCAAACAAACAUGCCAGUGAUAGUUAGGUUUUGAGAUUUCAGGUGAAACCAAGUGAACUUUAGGCAAUGAAAAUACUUCCCCCCCCCCCCACCUAGGAUUCAUGUAGGUCUUUAUGCAGGGGUUUAUCUCAGCAUAACUCAGUACAGCAGAGGUAGAAGUAUCAGCUUUCCUUUAAAUUAUCUUGUUCACACAGCUUUUCCAUUGAAAUUAUUUUUGCCACUUACUUGUGGUUCGCUUUCAUCUUAAUGCUUGCACAAUCUUUCCAAGAACCUAGUUUGCCUGUGCUAAAUUUAAAGCAACUCCUGCAGUGUGAUCUGAGAGCUUUACAAAUACAGAUGGACUUUGCUUCCUAUCGCUCUUGCUGAGACUGUUUUGCACAGUGGCACAGCCUACAACCAUUCAACUGACAGAGCAGGUGUGAAAUAUCUGCCUUGUGACAAAGCUUUGAGCUAGCUCUUUCAUUCCCAUUACGAGACAGCAAUUAGUACUGCCUUAAAAUAAAUAAAUAAAAAAAAGAGAUAAAGAGGAUGCAAUCUACCACAGUACAGAAAAUAUCACAGUCAUCCUCUUUUGCUGAGAAUGGGGAAGAAUUUUAAGUCUGUAGUACCACAGACAGUGUUUGGUUAGUUUGCUGUGAACUGUGAAAAAGGAUUUGAUGACUUAUCUGAAGCCCUGUGUAGUCUUCUGUUUUCUCUAUAGAAGUUAUAAAGGAAGUGGUGUCCCCACCCAUAAAUAAAACAUGUCAGAAGAUGACUAACAUCAGAUUCAUUAUGUGUUUAAGCUGGUGUAGCAUGGCUACCCAGCUGUCUUUAAGCUGCUGGGCUCUCCAUGGGGAGCUUUCUAGAAACAUAGCAGGGUCUUCCAGGUAGGUGCACAUGAGUGUGAGGCCAGUCUCUGGGAAGACUGAAGACUAUUCGGAGGCAUUUUUGUCUUUCAGGUUCAAUUUCACUGAGCAGUCCUGCAGAUAGCUGAGAAGCAAAAUCAGCCAGGACUUGCAUUUCAGAGACACCAAGUCCUGUGCCACAAAUAAUACUGGAAUCUGCAGACUUAUCACAGGACAGGCACAAGAUUCAUCAAGGGAGUGAGACACUUAGAGCUGAUUUUAUCCUACCCACCCCAGAGUGACUAAUUCUAGCACGCAAAUUAAGCACCUUCCCUUUCUACUUACACUAAGAUCUUCAUAGAUAGCCUCUGCUGUUGUGAUACUCAUGUUCCAAGACCCAGUGUGAAGAUAAGAACCAGCAGCUACAACAGAUGAGAACCCUACCCCAGCACAGUACUUUGCUUUGGAGAGAAACAGUUUACAAACCAGGUUCUACAAAUUAGUGGAUGCUGGAAAAAUGGACAUAAUUGUAUUGCUUCAUCUCAUAAAUGUGGUAAGAAGGCAAAUAUAGUAAUAUCUGUGAAGGACUCAGAGAUUAGCCUGACAGAACUAGAGACAUGAUCAUGAGACAAAAGUAGAAUUCUACAGUUCGAGAAAGGCGUGGAUAAUGUGCAUUAAAUAGGGCUCACUCCUACACUGCAGUGAAGUGCAAUAAAGAGAAUCCUAAAUAACCAGUCCCUCAGCUGGGAGGGUGCCUUCUGCAAACUGAACCAAGCAUUGUGACAGGAUACUGAGCACCACAAUAUUUGUGAGGAGAGGUUAACAUGAAGGGCAGAUUGCACUGAUACGUCCUUGUGUCAUUCUUCUGUGAGUAGUAGAGAAUAUCUUAAGAUAGGUCUUCAAGUUUACUUCCAUCUCUGUUGCCAAGUCUUACUCCUCCAAGGCUCUGUGAAGUGCCCUAAAGCUGUAAGGAAGUACUGUGACACCUGAGCAGCUAAUGGCAACUUGCAUAAGCCACAAAUAGAAACUGUUUUACUUUCAUGUAUGUUCCUACCCCCCAAAACACAAUUUUAGAACACCUGAAUUGGUAUGAGGAUGUAGGGGAAGAGGAGGACAGGCUUUGCAGUCUUACUUCUGUGCAAUGAUAGGUACCACAUGCAGUUUUCAUGGGCAUGAGCAGAGUACAGUCUUCAUAGUGCCAUAACAAAUCUGUUCCAGCUUCUGGGACCACUACCUGGACUGGUCUUUAGAUCUACCUUAGAUCUAUUUCUCUUCAGCAAUGGAAGUAUACAGCAUUAUCAGGCUUACCUGCUAAAAAAUCACCUCGGCCCCAAAGAACAGCAAAACAAAAAUAUUUGACUUGAUGUUUUUCCAAAAUAAAUGGUUUCUCAUCACCAAAAACCCCGAAGUCUUCAUUCAAGUUACCUGCAAGUUUUGUCAAUGCAGAGGUGGCUGUCUACCCUGAACUUGUUGUCUAAGGCUGUUUAUACCAUUAAAGAGAGCUCCCUACAUAAGGGGAUUCAUUCCAGCCUGAGAUUGAGUAACUUAAAACAGUUUGCCACCCUCUGCAAGUACCUAUUUCUGUUCCCUGACUAGCAAGGGAGCCCUUACAUUAGCUAGCAAACUGCCAGCUAAGGAUGGGAGAGAUGAUUCCUGCAGCCUACACCUUCCAGUUGGAAGGAGUUGGGAAAAAAUUCCCUACUAACAGACCUUGCAAAAGCCUGCUUUGUGUUCCUCCUUGUGCUAAACCAAAGUUGCCACAUCCCUGUAAACUUGAAGACAGUCGGCGAAACAUCUGAUGCGAGCUGUGGUAGGUGAGGGUGCUCGAGAGGAGUCCACAGCACAGGUUUUAUUAAGAUGUUUAUUGAAUUCCUCUUUUAGCACAAAAGAUCUACUUCAUUCAAUUUCAUAAUAAAAAAUGGCUGAAGCACACUGGAGCAAUAGGAAAGCAACUCCCUUAGUAUGCACCUUCCCUCCUUCUGUCCUGCUUUGCCUGAAAUUCUUGAACAGGCUUUGACACAGGGACUGAAGUCAGCAUUUCUCCUUCCAUAGAAAGCCUAGAAAAUGAGAUGAACUGAAAGGUCAUCUCUUAUCUUUGCUAUAGUCUUAUUGGCAUAUAGCUGAAGACCAGUUAUUUCUGUUCAGGUAAGCUGGUUGGUAACAUUACCAAUAUUUUAGCCAUUAGAGAUCUGUCUUCAGAUCUCUUUCCCUCCACAGGGAAAGAUACUUCUUCAAGAAAAAAAGAAAAUUAUUUCAGUACCUUUAAGUGUAUCCUCAAAGCCUAACUUCAGUAUGCACAUAACAUUGUAUUAUUUUCACAAAAAUUUAUUUUUCUCUUACAUUCAGCAACUGAUGGAGUAAUAUAAGCACAUCAUGGUUUGAUUCCCCUGCUUUAGUUCUCUUACUGGUACUGUUAUGGCAGCUUGUAGAAAGCUCCAGAUGAAGCAGGACAGUUUUCUUGCAGAAGUUCUUAAUGGUUCUUUGAUUCUUCCCUUUGGUCAAGCAGUACUUCCCUAUUUAUAAGAAUUUCAGUGGAUUAGCAUGCUGAAGAUUAUGUACUCUUUUCUUACUCUUUUCUUGUUCAUUCUAACUUUUAUGGAGAACCUAAUUUUGCAUGGCAAUCUUCUCCUGGCAAUGUCUCUGACUUUGGGAGACUUUUCUCCCACUGCUUCCUCUGCUUUUAUGUCCUAGGCAGUUAUAUGAAUUAGCUAAUAUUUAUAAAACCCAUUAAGCCCAUACAGGAAAGAUACUACGAGUAAAAUCAUGGAAAUUAAGCCUGAUAUCCUCUAGUCCUUUUGCAGUCACUGCUCACUGGCUAUGCUUUCUAGACCAAUAAACAUAAUUUCUUUCCCCUGGAUUUCUUCAGAUUCUCAACAUGGCUGAAAAAGACAUUUUCAGGGGAUUCUUUUGUAACAGGCUCUAUCCUCUAUAAGACGAUAAUAAUUUGGCUACAGCUCAAAAUGUAGUCACAGGUGCUUAAAAUCAAGUGCUUGAUAUGAAAGGUUGCCUUUCUUUUGAAUGUGUCUUCUUUUUUUCUCCUGUAUUUUAAUCUUGCUCAAACUUUUCGAAGCUUCAGAUUAUUUGCAUUACCAUUUUGGAAACAGACCAUUCCUGAUUUUCAAAGGUUGGAGCAAUUGGGGCUCAGGCAGCCUGAAAACAUUGUCCACUUGUCUUCAGCUUAAGCACCCAGAUUGGAGGCACAAAGAAUUAAAAAUCUUUCCAAACAAUAUGUGCAAAACUGUGCUUUUGUCCUCAAGUUAGAAUACGCUGGUCGGUCAGGAGUGACUCAUUCACCACCACAAGCAUCCACCAAACCCAUUAUGCCAAACUCGAAACUGCUGUUUCAGAGGGACAUGGUAUAGAAUGGAAAUGUAUCUUGGGUCUCCUUGUUAUCCACUGUGUCACUGUAGGGAAGGCACUUUCUGCUCAGGCUUGAAAGUUUUCAAUGCUUUUCUGUCUGUACUUACAGCAAAAUCUACACCGUUCCUUCCCUUAUGCGAUUCCAGCCAUCACAUCCCUCUUCCUAUAGCCUUGCUUAAGCACUCUUUUUGAAACAGCUUUAUGAGUCUCUUUCAUACUCCCUGUAACACAUGUAAUCAGGUUAUAUAUCCCUGGGUUUAUUGAAAUAAAAUUUUUAGGAAAUGAAAAAAUCCAGCUAUAAUUGCAGCACAAGCCAGUCUUACAGCUUUUCGGGAAUA
ensembl:lncRNA